UUGUAUAACCAAAAUGCUCUGAUUGUGCCCGAUCUCAUCCAAUGUCAGAAGCUAUACAGGGUUCAACCUGGUUAGUACUUGGAUGGUAGACUGCCCGAUAAUACUGAGUGUGGUAGGCU
rnacentral:rRNA from 1 species